rnacentral:rRNA from 1 species
UACGUAGGGGGCAAGCGUUGUCCGGAUUUAUUGGGCGUAAAGAGCGUGUAGGCGGCUAGAUAGGUCCGUUGUGAAAACUCGAGGCUCAACCUCGAGACGUCGAUGGAAACCAUCUGGCUAGAGUCCGGAAGAGGAGAGUGGAAUUCCUGGUGUAGCGGUGAAAUGCGCAGAUAUCAGGAAGAACACCCGUGGCGAAGGCGGCUUUCUGGUACGUGACUGACGCUGAGACGCGAAAGCGUGGGGAGCAAACAGG